rnacentral:rRNA from 1 species
AUGGCGGUGGUCAGCGCCGCGCACGGCGCGUUUGGGCCCCUGCUGGGGAAGCUCACGGCCUUGCUCGCCGAAGAGUGCGGCCGGCUGAAAGGGGUCCGCCGCGAGGUCCGGUCCCUCAGAUCUGAGCUCGCCAGCAUGCAUGCCGCGCUCAAGGAGUACACCAAGCUGGAGGACCCAAAUGACAAAGUCAAGGCGUGGAUUUCGUUGGCCAGGGAGCUGGCCUACGACACCGAGGACGUCUUCGACAAGCUCAUCCACCACCUCGGCGACGGCCGAGACCAUGGCGGCUUCAAGGACUUCUUCCGCAAGACCGUUCGCCGUCUCAAGACGCUUGGAGCUAGGCGCGGAAUCGCCGGCGAAAUCGACGACCUCAAGGGUCGCAUCAAGCAGGUGAAAGAGCUAAAGGAUUGUUACAAGCUGAGUGAUGCUCCUGAUAGCACCACUGGCCCUACCGCCGUGGAUCCCCGGCUUCAUGCAUUUUUUGCUGACGAGGCACACCUUGUGGGUGUGGACAGUCCAAGAGACGAUCUUGCGAAGUGGAUGUUGGAAGAAGAAAAUAACUCCUCCAAACACUGCAAGGUGUUGUCGAUUGUUGGGUUUGGUGUAUUGGGAAAGACAACACUGGCAAAUGAGGUCUAUCGCAAGAUUCAAGGAAAGUUUGAUUGUCAUGCUUUUGUAUCAGUCUCGCAAAAACUAGAUAUAAAGAAAAUUAUCAAGGACCUGAUCUCUCAAGUGUCAUGCGAAGAUGAAUCUACAAAAGAUAGAAGCGAUCGGGAUGAAAGGAAAUGUAUUGCAAAGCUAAGAGAACUGCUACAAGAUAAAAGGUAUCUUAUCAUUAUAGAUGAUGUAUGGUCUAUAGAAGCAUGGAACGCUAUCAAGUGUGCUUUUCCAGAGAAUAGUUGUUCUAGCAGAAUAAUAGCUACGACACGCAUUGUUGAUGUAGCAAAGUCAUGUUGUCCGAGUGUAGUCGACCGCGUGUAUGGAACGAAAGCCCUAAGUGAUCUUCACUCCAGGAAAUUAUUUUUGACCAGAAUAUUUGGCUCCGGUAACCAAUGUCCUGAUAUGCUGAAGAAAGUUUCAGAUGCGAUCCUAAACAAGUGUGGAGGCCUACCAUUGGCAAUUGUCACUAUAUCUAGUUUGUUGGCGAACAGAUUAGCAACCAAGGAGGAGUGGGAGAAGGUUAAAAGGGCAAUUGGUUCUACACUGGAAAGAAAACAGAGUCUAGAGGGAAUGAGUAGAAUACUAUCCCUUAGCUAUAAUGAUCUCCCACUUCAUCUCAAGACAUGUUUGUUGUAUUUCAGUACAUUCCCCGAGGACUAUGUGAUUGAUAGAAAGAGGUUGGUGAGGCAUUGGAUAGCAGAGGGCUUUAUGUCGGAAGAGUGUGGGCUUAGCAAGCAAGAGGUUGCUGAGAACUACUUUUAUGAGCUUAUCAACAAAAGCAUGGUCCAUCCCGUGGACAUUGAGUAUGACGGCAAGGUUCCUGCCUGCCGAGUCCAUGACAUGAUGCUUGAAAUUAUUAUUUCAAAAUCAGUUGAAGAUAAUUUUGUCACUUUGGUAGGCGGAGGCCAAAAAAAUUUGACAAACCAUCAAGAUUUUAUUCGGCAACUAUCUGUCCAGCACAUUGACCAGGAGUUGGCAUCUGCAUUGGAAAAAGAAGAUCUAAGCCAUGUUCGGUCUCUAACAGUAACAUCAUCAGUUUUCAUGAAACAUUUUCCCAGUCUUACCAAAUUUGAAGCUUUACGUGUACUGGACUUUGAAGGCUGCAAGGGUUUGGAGCAGUAUGAUAUCUCCAAUGUGGACAGAUUAUUCCAACUAAAAUACCUGAGCCUUAAGGACACGGGCAUAUCAAAGCUACCAUCAAGCAUUGUGAUGCUACAUGAUCUGGAGAUCCUUGAUCUUAGGACGCCAUCCAUGCAAGAGCUGCCGACUGGAAUUAUUCUGCUCACUAAGCUGCAAUAUCUACUCACUAAAGCCUAUUGUAAGGUGCCUAAUGGGAUCGGGAAUAUGAGGAGCUUACGGGAAGCCCCAAGAUUUGAUAUUACCAGGAGUUCAUUGGAUACAAUUGAGGAGCUUGGGAACUUGAGCAGAUUAAAUAAACUCGGUUUAUGCUUGGACGAUGGAGAUGGGUACAAGAGGCAUGAGAAGGUUCUACUCUCCUUGCUAUGCAAGCUUAGCAGCUGCAAACUGCAGUCUUUAUGUAUAAAAAAUAGGAGUUACGGUUCCCUCGACUUCAUCGACUCGUGGUCCCCUUUGCCAUCCUCCCUUCAGAAAUUAUGCAUUUAUGGUAAAAUGCAUUUAGCGAACGUACCAAAGUGGAUUUCUCCAGGACUCACAAGCCUAGCUCACGUGAACAUCGGAUUAGAUGAAUUAAGGGAGGAGGAUCUGCACACUCUUGAUGAGCUCCCAUCGUUACUUUAUCUACACCUGUACUUGGCUACAGGACCAAAGAAAAAGCUUACGGUAACUGGAUUCCCAUGUCCGAGGAGGUUUGGCCUCCUUAGUCUGGAUGGGGCAUAUAUCACGGUCCAGAAAGGGGCUAUGCCGAAGCUUGAGAAGCUUGAGCAGCCAUUUGAUGUGUCAGUGGCGAAAGCUUAUGGCUUCUAUUUAGGCAUUGAGCAUCUCCCAUGUCUCAAAGUAAUCAAAGUAAUGCCUCGUCACAAAGGUGCCACAUUUUCAGAAAGCAAGGCUGCAGCUGCUUCGAUCAGGAACGAAGCUGGUGUGCAUCCCAACCAUCCUGAAAAUAUUAUUUUGGGGGUUCAGGCGUUUCUGCAUGAUGAGGACAAUGUAGAGACCGGUAAUGUUGAGGGAAAGAGCAAGGAGGAAGGGAACUAUUAA